rnacentral:rRNA from 1 species
GCGCGAAACCUUUACACUGCACGAAAGUGCGAUAAGGUUAUACCGAGUGCCACCCGCUGAGGGUGGCUUUUCUUAGGUCUAAAUAGCCUAGGGAAUAAGGGGAGGGCAAGCCUGGUGUCAGCCGCCGCGGUAAUACCAGCUCCCCGAGUGGUCAGGACGAUUAUUGGGCCUAAAGCAUCCGUAGCCGGCUUUGUAGGUCUCUUGUUAAAUCCAACGGCCCAACCGUUGGAAUGCAGGGGAUACCGCGGAGCUAGGGGGCGGGAGAGGCGGACGGUACUCCAUAGGUAGGGGUAAAAUCCUUUGAUCUGUGGAAGACCACCAGUGGCGAAGGCGGUCCGCUAGAACGCGCCCGACGGUGAGGGAUGAAAGCUGGGGGAGCGAACCGGAUUAGAUACCCGGGUAGUCCCAGCUGUAAACGAUGCAGGCUAGGUGAUAGGGAGGCUACGGGCCUCCCGUAGUGCCGCAGGGAAGCCGAUAAGCCUGCCGCCUGGGUAGUACGACCGCAAGGUUGAAACUUAAAGGAAUUGGGCGGGGGAGCGAACCACGAAACGGGGGUGAAAGGCCCU